rnacentral:lncRNA from 1 species
UCGUCUUCCAUCUCUUCUAUUCCAACAGAGCAGAAGUAUUCUUUUCAGAUCUUCAGACUUUCAAGAAUACUUUUAUCUCUCUUCAUUUUUCUUCCAUCUCUUGCAAUUUCAGGUAUGAUUGUCUCUCAAUCCUCUCUCUACUAUUUUUGUCUUUGCCUUUUCGACAUCUCUUAACAAAUUUUAAUUUCAUAGCUGAAUUUUUGGUUGUUGUUGUUGUCCUAUGGUGACAUUAUUAUGUCUAUAGAGGGAAGGAGAACUAAAAAUUUUGGGCUGAAAUUUGUUGCUUUGAUACGAUUUCUCUUUCUAUUUUUUCUACGUCAUGGUUUAUUCGAAGUUCUCUUCUAACUUUUCGUUUUCGCCAAAGAAGUCGAAAAUAGAGAAAAUCAAACCAAAAUACAAUACCAAAGCAGACUAUAAGUUCUCUUAUUCAGAGAAACUCAAGGAAAAUAGGAAAUCAAAAUGCAUUUCAGAACACCUAUCAACAUAAAUCAUACUGUAUUUUGGAGAUGAUCCCAUGGACAUGUGAUCCUGAAUCAGAUUCAACAUUCAAAACUUUUCUCAACUGUUACUUGUAUUGUUGUUUCAGUGGAAGACAGAUUCAGCCACUCCUGCCUCUCUCACUUAUUUCUACUUCCAUUCAUUGGACAUGUUCUCAUACUUGCAAUUUGCAUUCUCAUCACACACUGACGAUAGUACGAUGGAAAAAGUUCCUUCAUAUUUACUAAUUCUCUCUUGCAAUCAUAAAUACAAUCAAAUUGGAAUGAAAAAAAACUGACAGAAGGGCUAGGCGUUAUAUAGACUGAUGUCGGCGGACAAAAACAAAUCCCUUUUAAUACAACAAUGAGCUAAUAAAGCUGAAUUAAAAGAUGGCUUUUCUGUGACAAUGUUACUAUUGCAUUGUCGCAAUAACACUCUAUAUAGAUGAGUAUAAUUAGCGGAAAUGGUAUGAUUCGUUGGAGUAUCCUAAUUCCAGUUUCAAUCCGAACUAAAAAAACAAACAAUAAAGAAGUUGUCAUGUAUAAAUCCUCAACAUAUGUAUUAUGUAGUUUCUCUUUAUUCUUUGACUAGCCAUUUUGACUUUAGCACUUUUGCAUGUUAAAAGGAUAAUUUGUAUCUCUGCAGUAGAACAGUCACGUCCGAUGGCUCUAAGCGCUGGCUGCACAACAUAGAAGCCUAAGGUUGACGUUCUGACUGACACUGUCACUUUUUAUUUUAAGAUUUUGUUAUUUUGGUCUUUUGCUUAAAUUUUGUAGUUGCGCUUGUUUCCUUUAAGAGGAUUUUUUAUGAAAUUCAAGGUUGCACGAUAGAGAUUAAUGAUAACUUGAAGCAGGUUUAUCUAUUACAUGAAUUUUGUGAUUAUUUCUCAUCUUCAUUUCUUCUACUGUAGGUACACUCACUAAAAUACAUAUCCUGCAUUUUACUGUUACGAAGUCUGGGAAAAAAUUUAUCAAUGUUAAUUGUUGAAAAAAUUACGCUUAAAAUAUCAGCAUCUCCUAAUGGAUAGCUGAAUAAAGCACUUAUGCAUAUAAUCCAAUUAGAUUUACCUCCUUUAAGAGAGUGGACUAAUAUCUAGAAUUCUGGAUUUUAAUCGAUCCACCAAUCCUGCUCUAUGUUAAACUACUAUAUGUUGUUGCAACACAUUCUCUCAGUACAUUCUAUCUGAUUGAUUUGGUGCAAAAAGCUUCCUUUUCUUACUCUACUUUUGAGAUUUUUUUGGUUUCUUUGUUUGCCUUUUUUGGGGUCGCGGUUGGAGGGUCAUGAAAACUAGAGUUUGUUUUAAGAAUUUCUUUUUCGCUAUUUUUAAUAUGUCGAUGUAUGUGCACCAAAUUGUAUAUUUGCUUUUUUUCUUUUUGAAGCAUGUUCUCUCUUUAUCAUUAAUUUCUUCAAACUUACUGGGUACACUAAUUUACCUUCGAUAUUUCUCUAUCUAUUUCUCUUUUGAGGAAAUGAAAAAGAGAAUUAAGGCCACUAAUAUUCUAAUGUUUAUCAUUAUACUAGAAAUGAAAUUCUUAAAAGGUAAUAUAAGGUUAGUAUAUCUCGGAUAUUUAUACAUUUUUUUAUCUAUCAAAAGAUUUAUUAUUAGAGGGUGGAUUGUAUAUUUAAUUCCUCAUGAAGAUUGUCUUUUGCAUGUUAAAGAUGUUUCAAACUCUUUUGAGGAUAUAUAUAAAGGUAUGCCAAACUAUCAUUCUUUUUUUUUUUUGUUAUUGAUUGUUUUGUUUAUGCUCUAUAAUCUUUUAAACUAUAAACAAACGCGCUAUCUGCAAAUGCCAAUAAUUUGUGCGUCAAAAUGAAUUGAUACUUUAACAUAAUCAGCUAGAUCCUUUUUAAGCUGUGAGCAAACAUAUUAUCUGCACAUGUGAAUGAGUUAUGUGUCAAUUGAGUUGAUGCAUUAACUUAGUUAGCUAUGUCAUUUUUCUUACCACUAAUUUUUUCAAGGAAAAGUGAUGGGAUGGUCAUGGUACACGUUGGCAAUAAAAGAUAUAUGGCAUUUGUGCUAACCAACGUUACUUGAGGAAGUAUAUAUUAUAUUUGAAGUUAAAGCCUAGAAGCCAGCAGCAUACUUUGCUAAUAGUUUUGGACUGCUCAUCUUAUCCAAAACUCAAUUGCAAGUAGCUUCAGUAUUCCAUCUUCUUUCAAGAAAAGCAAUUUUUUGGCAUCCAUCUAUGCGGCAGUUGUGUUUAUAAGUUUCAAAUAUAGUAUUAGGUUGUCAUGGUGAUCCAAAAUGAAUAAGCCUCUUCUCCUUGAUUGCCCAUAUUGUAUGCUUCUGAGUUCAAGAAUUUAGAACUGACAUGUCUAAGGAAAUUUAAAGAAGAGGGGCAACAAUAUUGUCCUAUUCUAUUCUUGUUCUUUCUUUCCUUCCUAUAAUUUUUUAUACAUAUAUAUUAUAUGUACAUUGACACCUGACAAUUCUCAUCACUUCGCAAUUCUACAGGUGCGAAAGAUGCAAAAAGGACACGACUGACCACAACAUCAUCAAUGCAUCAAGCAUCAAAUUUUCUGAAUAUGUAAAUAGUAAUAGUAAGUUCAUGGCAGUAAAAAAUGUGCUACUUACAAUAUUUCGUAACUUGUGUACAACUUGAUUUUGUUUCUAAAUGCAUCGAUGAUAUGAAGGUUCGUGGAUGUGAAGAAUGUAUUCUUUGGCAGCCACACAACAUGCAUGAGUGCAUAUUUUGUUCAGAAAUGAAUAUAAAUUAUUUGAAGCUGUUAAUUUCAACACUGACAAUAUUGGGCCCGUGCUUACGGGCCAUAACCAUCUAGUAGGAAUAGAGAAACUUUCAUCGGGCCACUAGCCCCACAUGUGAAGGUACGUGCGAGUCGAGAAGUCCCUGAAC